AUUGAUGUAUCUUAUUCUUUUCUAUAAAGAGGAAAUAAGGAAUUCUCUGCCCUUUAGUCAUUGCUGCUUUUUAGUUUCCAACAAAAUUUUAUGGCCACAAGCAAACUUGAUGAGAAAGGCAUGUAACAAUGUAGUUCAUUCUUUUUAGAUGCUUACUAUCACUGUGAUUUGUUUCCCUUAUGACUAACUGCAGUGGAUGUAUUCUCACACGUUACUUUAUGUAGAAUCACGCUGUAAUUAGGCCCUUGGCUGGAGGCAGUCCCGGGGACGAAGGUCACGGCCUCAGCGCGCCGCAGCCCGGAGCGCGGGGGUCGGGGGGGGGUGGCGCGCGCACUCUGGGCGCCCCGGGAGUCCGUUGCGCGGAGGCGGCCGGGCGAGCCGCGAAAGGUGCCUGUGGCUUCUCCAGGGGAAGCUGCGGCAGUUGCGUCGGAUGCAGUUGACAGUUUCUUUCGCUCGCCGAGGGGCGGCCCUCGCGCACGUCUUCCUGCUUAAAAUGCGCUGUGGUUUUUGCACUUCAGGUCACGAAAUGGAUUCGAGUGAACAGGAGACCCAGAAAACGGAAACGAAGGGAGAACGAAGAGGUGUUUGAAAAGAACUCACCUCUCUUCUGCUUCUGGCCCUCAGCAGGGGCUCCUGAACAACUCCACAAAGAACAAUUAGGAUGAGUGGAUUCACAAGUUCUGCCAGGGCAAGGCUCGUUUUAUGUCCCAGCAUAUGGUCC